AGUGAACGCUGGCGGUAGGCCUAACACAUGCAAGUCGAACGGCAGCACAGGAGAGCUUGCUCUCUGGGUGGCGAGUGGCGGACGGGUGAGGAAUACAUCGGAAUCUACCUUUUCGUGGGGGAUAACGUAGGGAAACUAACGCUAAUACCGCAUACGACCUUCGGGUGAAAGCAGGGGACCUUCGGGCCUUGCGCGGAUAGACGAGCCGAUGUCGGAUUAGCUAGUUGGCGGGGUAAAGGCCCACCAAGGCGACGAUCCGUAGCUGGUCUGAGAGGAUGAUCAGCCACGCUGGAACUGAGACACGGUCCAGACUCCUACGGGAGGCAGCAGUGGGGAAUAUUGGACAAUGGGCGCAAGCCUGAUCCAGCCAUACCGCGUGGGUGAAGAAGGCCUUCGGGUUGUAAAGCCCUUUUGUUGGGAAAGAAAAGCAGUCGGCUAAUACCCGGUUGUUCUGACGGUACCCAAAGAAUAAGCACCGGCUAACUUCGUGCCAGCCGCCGCCGUAACAC
rnacentral:rRNA from 1 species